rnacentral:rRNA from 1 species
ACUCCUGCGGGAGGCAGCAGUGGGGAAUUUUGGACAAUGGGCGAAAGCCUGAUCCAGCCAUGCCGCGUGCAGGAUGAAGGCCUUCGGGUUGUAAACUGCUUUUGUACGGAACGAAACGGCCUUUUCUAAUAAAGAGGGCUAAUGACGGUACCGUAAGAAUAAGCACCGGCUAACUACGUGCCAGCAGCCGCGGUAAUACGUAGGGUGCAAGCGUUAAUCGGAAUUACUGGGCGUAAAGCGUGCGCAGGCGGUUAUGUAAGACAGUUGUGAAAUCCCCGGGCUCAACCUGGGAACUGCAUCUGUGACUGCAUAGCUAGAGUACGGUAGAGGGGGAUGGAAUUCCGCGUGUAGCAGUGAAAUGCGUAGAUAUGCGGAGGAACACCGAUGGCGAAGGCAAUCCCCUGGACCUGUACUGACGCUCAUGCACGAAAGCGUGGGGAGCAAACAGGAUUAGAAACCCCAGUAGUCC